UCUCUCUCCCUACAUCCGUACCCAUCUGCCUCCUCUCCACCUUCUUCAUUUUUCAUUUUUCUUUCAAGAAACAAGGCUAAAGUCUUCAAAUCUUUAGUAUUUCUAAGAGUUAUGGGAACUUCCUAAGGUGUUUUCUUAGAGUUCUCAAAGUGGUGACAAGCUUUGGACUACAAGAUCAUCUUUUCUUUCUCAAAUCAUCUUGCCUUGUUUGCUAAGACUACAGCCCUGCUACAUCGACAAUGACAACCCAUGGAAAUCCCUGAUUUUUUUUUUUUUUGAUUUUUUGCUCCUUCAUUUCGUUCCCAACUUCAAUUCACACAUAAAUCCAACCUAAACCUCUCCUUCUCUAUGGUUUAUCCCCCAUUUUGUACAAUAAAAUCAAAAGCGACACCACACCACAUGCGUUACAGAUCUUCGGCGAUUGAGUAUGGAGGUGCACUCUACAAUAAAAGACAUACACCUUUUAAGACAUUAACAUGUGGUACAAGUGGACUAUACUACUUUCAUAAAAAAAGGGUUGCUGAUUCGCAUACGAAGAAACUGUUGAUCUUGUAUGUUAUGAAGCCCUUGGUUAACUAGACAGUCACUAAUUCGACAACGUAAAUUUACCAAUGUUUGGGAGAGAGAACAAGAUUUGAAUACUUUUGCGGGUUCUGAAUACGGUAUAUCAUAAUAACCAUAUGUGUUGCUGCAUACGCAAAGCAAUAGGGCGUGUCCCCCUGAUGCCACACAUAUUUAUAUAUGUGACCAAUCGAGCACUCAAAUCCUGCAUGUACCCUGUCAAAAACCAAAAACCGAAUUCUAGAUGGAGGUGCAUGCUACAAUAAAAAGGCAUACAACGUUUAAAGACACUAAAAUGUGUUACAAGUGGACUAUACUACUUUUAUAAAAAAGGGUGCAAUUGCCAUUUUCUUGCAUAGUGGAAGCAUCUAUCCACGUCUAUCCAAUCAGGAAAAAUAUGAUUUUGUGUGGCAUUUGCAGCCGCCCAUUUUCUUACAAUCGUUUAUCAGACGCAUCUUCAUUUGAAAAAUUGAACAUGUUGCACCUCCCAAGUAUCAGGAUUGCCGAUUCGCAUACGAAGAAACCGUUGAUGUUGUAUGUUAUGAAACCCUUGGUUAACUAGUGAGUCUAUAACUGAGGUUAUAUUUCGACAACGUAAAUUCACCAAUGUUUGGGGUGAGAGAACAAGCUUUGAAUACUUUCCCGGGUUCUGAAUACGAUAUAUCAUAGUAACUAUAUGUGUUGCUGCACGCGCAAAGCAAUAUGGUGUGUCCCCUGAUGCCACACAUCUUUAUAUAUGUGACCAAUCGAGCACUCAAAUACUUCAUGUACCCUCCCAAAAACCAAAAACCGAAUUCUAGGUAACUCAGAGUGUGAUAACGCCAACUUUAGUUUUGACUUUGGCCAGGAAGUCAAAAUCGCUUAUCACCGGAUCAAGAAGAACUGUCCAUGUUUUACUUUUGGUUUAAAGGGUACUUUAGUUUAGUUAAAAGUUUGUAUGGAACAGGCAUGUGUUGGAUUUUUGAACGGGUCUGGCUUUUGCUCUUUUUGAAGUUAUAUUAAA